rnacentral:rRNA from 1 species
GUAUUAGAUUGGGAAGUGGAAUGCGCGGUGUAGCGGUGAAAUGUGUAGAUAUCGGGAGGGACACAUCAGGCGAAGGUAGUCUUCUUGGAUCAUAAAGGAUGCUGACGUGAGAGUGAGAGGGGAGCCAGCAGGAUGAGAUAGCCGCGUAGGUUUAGCCCUAAAUGAUGAGCAUUGGGCGUUGCCCUUCGAAGUGCAGUGCCGUAGCUAAUGCAUUAACUGCUCAGCCUGGGGAGUACGGUCGCGAUGGUGCAACUCGAAGGAAUUGACGGGGGCCCGCACAAGCGGUGGAGCAUGUGGUUUCAUUAGACGCAACGCGAAGAACCUCACUAGGACUUGAAAUUUUGUUGACAGUGUAAGAGAUGAGAUCUUCUCGCAACGGACAGCAGAAUAGGUGCUGCACGGCCGUCCUCAUUUCGUGUCGUGAGAUGGUGGGUUAAGUCAAGCAACGAGCGCAACCCUCACCCUUAGUUGCUCACCCGCAAGGGAAGCACCAUAAUAGAACCGCCUUGGAUAACGGGGAGGAAGGUGGGGAGGAUGUCAAGUCCUGAGGGCCUGUACCCCCUGGGCAACACACCUGAUACAAUGGCCGGUGCAAAGUGUCGCCAACCCGCGAGGGGGAGCCAAUAGCAAAAAACCGGUGUCAGUUCGGAUUGCAGUUUGCAACUCGAGUGCAUGAAGCCGGAAUCGUUAGUAAUCGCGUAUCAGAUUGACGCGGUGAAUACGUUCCCGGGCCUUGUACACACCGCCCGUCACAUCACGAAAGUGGUUUGUACUAGAAGUCGUCAUUCGAACCGCAAGGGCGAGAGCGCCCAAGCACGAACCCAGAUUGGGGUGAAGUCCUAACAAGGUAACC